rnacentral:rRNA from 1 species
UACGGGGGGAGCAAGCGUUGUUCGGAUUUACUGGGCGUAAAGGGCGCGUAGGCGGUCGUGACAAGUCACUUGUGAAAUCUCCGGGCUUAACUCGGAACGGUCAAGUGAUACUGUCGGACUAGAGUACAGAAGGGGCAACUGGAAUUCUCGGUGUAGCGGUGAAAUGCGUAGAUAUCGAGAGGAACACCUGCGGCGAAGGCGGGUUGCUGGGCUGAUACUGACGCUGAGGCACGAAAGCGUGGGGAUCAAACAGG